GACGAACGCUGGCGGCGUGCUUAACACAUGCAAGUCGAACGGAAAGGCCCUGCUUUUGUGGGGUGCUCGAGUGGCGAACGGGUGAGUAACACGUGAGUAACCUGCCCUUGACUUUGGGAUAACUUCAGGAAACUGGGGCUAAUACCGGAUAGGAGCUCCUGCUGCAUGGUGGGGGUUGGAAAGUUUCGGCGGUUGGGGAUGGACUCGCGGCUUAUCAGCUUGUUGGUGGGGUAGUGGCUUACCAAGGCUUUGACGGGUAGCCGGCCUGAGAGGGUGACCGGCCACAUGGGGACUGAGAUACGGCGCAGACUCCUACGGGAGGCAGCAGUGGGGAAUAUUGCACAAUGGGAGGAAGCCUGAUGCAGCAACGCCGCGUGCGGGAUGACGGCUUUCGGGUUGUAAACCGCUUUCGCCUGUGACGAAGCGUGAGUGACGGUAAUGGGUAAAGAAGCACCGGCUAACUACGUG
rnacentral:rRNA from 1 species